GAACACUCACGGAAACGAACAACUUUUUGUAUCCUUCCUUGGAAACGCAAACAAAAUUACGACGGUGAAAAUGAUUUUGUAAACCAAUUAACCGUUAAGGUCUCCAUCCAGGAACUGCUGUGUUUCUAAUUUAUCCACGCUGACUAUUUCUGCAAUAUCUCUUAAGAGACCAGCCUUUUCUUCACUGAAGACUAAAGAACCAUUUUACCCAUCACUCGAACCUACUUUAUCUGAAGUACCUUUGGAAAUAUGACCGGUCCUCUUAAGAGUUGUGGUUUUCGGAAAUCUAAGAAUUAAAUAUUAAACUUAGUCUUCUGACUGUACACAAACGAGGCAGUGAACGUGGACCUGCAGAUAAGCUUAAGGCCUGUCCACACGACCGGGCCUGAUCGGCGGACCUCCCCUCUAACGGGCACACUUGAUGGGCAAACCGUCAAUUGCCCGAUGGGUCUUGUAGCAAAAUCAUCAUGGUGGUGCCCAAUGGCUUGUGCUCGACCCUGGCAGACUAGGCACCAUGUUUAUCGUACCGCACUGAACGCACUAAUUGCAUCGUCGGGCACGCCCACCUCUCCAUCGCAUCACCCGUGUGGACAUUCACCAGUAAGCCCGCCAGAAUUUGCCUGUCAACCUCAGAGCACACCGAUCAGACCCGCUCGUGUGGACAGGCCUUUAGAUGCACAGAAUUACAGACUUACCUGAUGAUUAUGGAAUGACUGUCAAUUUGAAUUGCCUGAAAAGCUUUGUUUAAGGAGACCCCUUCUACGGGUUAUUUGACGCCGCCGUUGGUGCAGAGAAAAUUGCUAAAACGAGCCCAGUCACGAGAGGCACUGCAUUUUUAUCCUUGGGAUUCAAGUCUGCGACUUUAAUGGAAUCCGGGAGGAUUCUGACCCAGCUCUGACACUGGGAAAAAUACGAUGACAUAAUGUCAAAAGGUCUCCUCUCUCUCUCACACACACGCGCGCGCGCGCACACACUCCGGUUUAUUUUGUUCACAUCGGGCAACAUUGCAGGGAGCGAACGAGGAUUAAAUUUUACUUCCCAUUAUGGACGUGUGGGAAGAAGGUUUAGGAGA